GAUGAACGCUGGCGGCGUGCCUAAUACAUGCAAGUCGAGCGAACGGACGAGAAGCUUGCUUCUCUGAUGUUAGCGGCGGACGGGUGAGUAACACGUGGAUAACCUACCUAUAAGACUGGGAUAACUUCGGGAAACCGUAGCUAAUACCGUAUAAUAUUUUGAACCGCAUGGUUCAUAAGUGAAAGACGGUCUUGCUGUCACUUAUAGAUGGAUCCGCGCUGCAUUAGCUAGUUGGUAAGGUAACGGCUUACCAAGGCAACGAUGCUUAGCCGACCUGAGAGGGUGAUCGGCCACACUGGAACUGAGACACGGUCCAGACUCCUACGGGAGGCAGCAGUAGGGAAUCUUCCGCAAUGGGCGAAAGCCUGACGGAGCAACGCCGCGUGAGUGAUGAAGGUCUUCGGAUCGUAAAACUCUGUUAUUAGGGAAGAACAUAUGUGUAAGUAACUGUGCACAUCUUGACGGUACCUAAUCAGAAAGCCACGGCUAACUACGUG
rnacentral:rRNA from 1 species